rnacentral:rRNA from 1 species
UUCUAUUAGAAAUUAUUAAUAGUAAAAUCUGCUCCAUGUUUAAUAAAUAGCCGCAAUUUGUGCUAAGGUAGCAUAAUCAUUUGUCUUUUAAAUGAAGACUAGAACAAAAGAUUUAACAUUUUCAGUUUAUUUCCUUGACUUACCCUAUCAAAUUUAUCUUAAAUGUAAAAAGACAUUUAUAUAAAAGAAAGACGAUAAGACCCUAUUGAACUUAACUGUAGUUAAACUGGGGCAGUAAAUUAAUUAUUAUUUUAAUAUAAUUUAUUAUACAAAUAUCUAAUAAAAUUAAAUAAUUCAGUUACCAUAGGGAUAACAGCGUAAUAACUUUCUAAAGAUCUUAUUUAAAAUAUGGAUUACGACCUCGAUGUUGAAUUAAUAACCUAAUUAAGGCAAAACUUAAAAAAGGAAGUCUGUUCGACUUUUAAAAAAUUACAUGAUUUGAGUUCAGACCGGUGUAAGCCAGGUCGGUUUCUAUCUUCUAAAAAACUUUUUACAGUACGAAAGGACCUAAAAACCUAAUA